AAGUCGUAACAAGGUUUCCGUAGGUGAACCUGCGGAAGGAUCAUUAACACGUAUACACGUUUUAAUUAACAAACUUAUCAACAAUUCUACGAACUUGAUCUCCCUGCUGAAUAUAACUGCGGUGUCGUACCCCUGUCGUGGUGGGUCCCAGUAAACAUGUAGUUGUUCGAGACUUGUGUUAAGCUGAAGGCUGGCAGGCAUCGACUAUCACACUUCGACUGUGAGCCAAAACACAUUCAGCAGGCUUACUGACUCUAUUCUCGCGUGGAGUUACUCCAAUCCUUACCAUCAUAAGGCCGAGUUUAGAACCCCAUACCAAUUUCACCCUAUUUUACCUAUUUGACUAAUUAAUUGAUUCUUAGGAGAAAUCCUUUGAAUUACUAAGAUUUAUCUUAACUAAGCACAACUCUUAGCAAUGGAUAUCUUGGUUCUC
rnacentral:misc_RNA from 1 species